rnacentral:rRNA from 1 species
UACGUAGGGUGCAGGCGUUACUCGGAAUUACUGGGCGUAAAGCGUGCGCAGGCGGUUUCUUAAGUCAGAUGUGAAAGCCCCGGGCUCAACCUGGGAACUGCGUUUGAAACUGGGAGACUUGAGUGUGGCAGAGGGGGGUGGAAUUCCACGUGUAGCAGUGAAAUGCGUAGAUAUGUGGAGGAACACCGAUGGCGAAGGCAGCCCCCUGGGUUAACACUGACGCUCAUGCACGAAAGCGUGGGGAGCAAACAGG